AUUGAACGCUGGCGGCAGGCCUAACACAUGCAAGUCGAGCGGAUGAAGGGAGCUUGCUCCUGGAUUCAGCGGCGGACGGGUGAGUAAUGCCUAGGAAUCUGCCUGGUAGUGGGGGAUAACGUCCGGAAACGGGCGCUAAUACCGCAUCCGUCCUGAGGGAGAAAGUGGGGGAUCUUCGGACCUCACGCUAUCAGAUGAGCCUAGGUCGGAUUAGCUAGUUGGUGGGGUAAAGGCCUACCAAGGCGACGAUCCGUAACUGGUCUGAGAGGAUGAUCAGUCACACUGGAACUGAGACACGGUCCAGACUCCUACGGGAGGCAGCAGUGGGGAAUAUUGGGCAAUGGGCGAAAGCCUGAUCCAGCAAUGCCGCGUGUGUGAAGAAGGUCUUCGGAUUGUAAAGCGCUUUAAGUUGGGAGGAGGGAAAGUAAGUUAAUACCUUGCUGUUUUGACGUUACCAACAGAAUAAGCACCGGCUAACUUCGUG
rnacentral:rRNA from 1 species